CGUGGGGAAUCUGCCUUUGAGCGGGGGACAACCUUUGGAAACGAAUGCUAAUACCGCAUAAAAACUUUAAACACAAGUUUUAAGUUUGAAAGAUGCAAUUGCAUCACUCAAAGAUGAUCCCGCGUUGUAUUAGCUAGUUGGUGAGGUAAAGGCUCACCAAGGCGAUGAUACAUAGCCGACCUGAGAGGGUGAUCGGCCACAUUGGGACUGAGACACGGCCCAAACUCCUACGGGAGGCAGCAGUAGGGAAUCUUCGGCAAUGGACGAAAGUCUGACCGAGCAACGCCGCGUGAGUGAAGAAGGUUUUCGGAUCGUAAAACUCUGUUGGUAGAGAAGAACGUUGGUGAGAGUGGAAAGCUCAUCAAGUGACGGUAACUACCCAGAAAGGGACGGCUAACUACGUGCCAGCAGCCGCGGUAAUACGUAGGUCCCGAGCGUUGUCCGGAUUUAUUGGGCGUAAAGCGAGCGCAGGUGGUUUAUUAAGUCUGGUGUAAAAGGCAGUGGCUCAACCAUUGUAUGCAUUGGAAACUGGUAGAUUUGAGUGCAGGAGAGGAGAGUGGAAUUCCAUGUGUAGCGGUGAAAUGCGUAGAUAUAUGGAGGAACACCGGUGGCGAAAGCGGCUCUCUGGCCUGUAACUGACACUGAGGCUCGAAAGCGUGGGGAGCAAACAGGAUUAAAUACCCUGGUAGUCCACGCCGUANACGAUGAGUGCUAGAUGUAGGGAGCUAUAAGUUCUCUGUAUCGCAGCUAACGCAAUA
rnacentral:rRNA from 1 species